UUUCUAUACCGUUGCUUCGGCAGGCGGGGCCCAGGGGGGUUUCCACUAUAACGCCUGCCGAAAGACCAAAAACUCUCCUAAAGAAGCCUUCUGAAGAAAAGACAAAUAGUUAAAACUUUCAACAACGGAUCUCUUGGUUCUGGCAUCGAUGGAGAACGCAGCGAAAUGCGAUAAGUAAUGUGAAUUGCAGAAUUCAGUGAAUCAUCGAAUCUUUGAACGCACAUUGCGCCCGCCAGUAUCCUGGCGGGCAUGCCUGUUCGAGCGUCAUUUCAACCCUCAGGACCUGUUUCCUGGUGUUGGGGUACCUAGGUAAUAGGGCCCUUAAAGACAGUGGCGGGCUCUGUCACACACCGAGCGUAGUAAUCUCCUCGCUUAGGGCGUGUGUUAGAGCAUGGCCUAAACCCAUACUCACAAAAGGUUGACCUCGGAUCAGGUAGGAAUACCCGCUGAACUUAAGCAUAU
rnacentral:rRNA from 1 species